GACGAACGCUGGCGGCGUGCUUAACACAUGCAAGUCGAACGGAAAGGCCCUGCUUUUGUGGGGUGCUCGAGUGGCGAACGGGUGAGUAACACGUGAGUAAACUGCACUUGAAUUUGGGAUAAAUUUAGGAAACAGGGGCUAAAACCGGGUAGGAGCUCCUGCUGCACGGUGGGGGUUGGAAAGUUUCGGCGGUUGUGGAUGGACUCGCGGCUUAUCAGCUUGUUGGUGGGGUAGUGGCUUACCAAGGCUUUGACGGGUAGCCGGGCUGAGAGGGUGACCGGCCACAUUGGGACUGAGAGACGGACCAGACUCCUACGGGAGGCAGCAGUGGGGAAUAUUGCACAAUGGGCGGAAGCCUGAUGCAGCAACGCCGCGUGCGGGAUGACGGCCUUCGGGUUGUAAACCGCUUUCGCCUGUGACGAAGCGUGAGUGACGGUAAUGGGUAAAGAAGCACCGGCUAACUACGUG
rnacentral:rRNA from 1 species